ACAGCAGUCGCCGCGGGAAUACAGAGGGUGCGAGCGUUAAUCGGAUUUACUGGGCGUAAAGCGUGCGUAGGCGGCUAAUUGAGUCGGAUGUGAAAUCCCCGAGCUUAACUUGGGAAUUGCAUUCGAUACUGGUUAGCUAGAGUGUGGGAGAGGAUGGUAGAAUUCCAGGUGUAGCGGUGAAAUGCGUAGAGAUCUGGAGGAAUACCGAUGGCGAAGGCAGCCAUCUGGCCUAACACUGACGCUGAGGUACGAAAGCAUGGGGAGCAAACAGGAUUAGAUACCCGCGUAGUCCCUGUCUCUUAUAC
rnacentral:rRNA from 1 species